ensembl:lncRNA
GAAAUACAGAGGGGAGGGGGGAGCAGACCUGCUCCCCCCUCCCCUCUGUAUUUCUUGUCAAAUAAGUUACUGCUCAUGAUCCCAGAGCACUCACACGCAGACCCUCUUACAGAGUGAACCUUGUCUUCUCCUGUGUUCUCUGUUAUUUGUGUUGAAGAAAUACUCAAAAAGCUUUUUUUCAUCGGAAGCUGCAGGUUGGUUCCUUGUUUUGUUUUUUCAUCAAGCUCUUGAUACAACGAAAGAUCACCACCGACUGACGGGAUGGGGUUUGGCGCACCAGGGUUCCCCACAUCUGCGAGCGGUGGCCCCCUUCGCCUUCUGUUCGACAGUUUUGGUCAAUACUGCCACAACUUCACUGAGGGGAAUAGCGGCUCAGGAAAUGGAGCUCAAUCUAACAAACCUAAAUCUGAAGAACAAGCAGCAAAAAGUGAAAAAAAAAGAGAUACAGAUUCAUCUGAAUUGGAAAGAGAAUUCGACGUGGGAGCCAGUGGAAUGUAUAAAGAUGUCGUCAAGAACAACAGGAAAUUCUCCAGGGGCCCAGGGAACCCUGGGCACAAGGGGGUAGUUGAAGCGGAUCACAUGCCACCCAAGGACUCCCUGAAGAAAGCUGCAAAAGAGCCUUUGAUUUGGAUAUUGGGAGAAAGCGAAAAAUAUGAGGGGCUUUUGAAAAUGUUGCAGACGAAGGAUCCAAAAGGGAGAAAUCUCUUCACCCUACAGGUCCUCACGGGCCAACACAGGACGGCUCUGACAACCGGCAACAGUAGAGAGUCUGUGGCCGUCAGAGCCGUCCUGUGUUGGCCCGUGAGGACCUGUAGGGUGAAGAGAUUUCUCCCUUUUGGAUCCUUCGUCUGCAACAUUUUCAAAAGCCCCUCAUAUUUUUCGCUUUCUCCCAAUAUCCAAAUCAAAGGCUCUUUUGCAGCUUUCUUCAGGGAGUCCUUGGGUGGCAUGUGAUCCGCUUCAACUACCCCCUUGUGCCCAGGGUUCCCUGGGCCCCUGGAGAAUUUCCUGUUGUUCU